rnacentral:rRNA from 1 species
AACGAACGCUGGCGGCAUGCCUAACACAUGCAAGUCGAACGAGACCUUCGGGUCUAGUGGCGCACGGGUGCGUAACGCGUGGGAACCUGCCCUUAGGUUCGGAAUAACUCCCCGAAAGGGGUGCUAAUACCGGAUAAUGUCUUCGGACCAAGGAUUUAUCGCCUUUGGAUGGGCCCGCGUUGGAUUAGCUAGUUGGUAGGGUAAAAGCCUACCAAGGCGACGAUCCAUAGCUGGUCUGAGAGGAUGAUCCGCCACACUGGGACUGAGACACGGCCCAGACUCCUACGGGAGGCAGCAGUGGGGAAUAUUGGACAAUGGGCGAAAGCCUGAUCCAGCAAUGCCGCGUGAGUGAUGAAGGCCUUAGGGUUGUAAAGCUCUUUUACCCGGGAUGAUAAUGACAGUACCGGGAGAAUAAGCUCCGGCUAACUCCGUG